rnacentral:rRNA from 1 species
GUCUCUUUGAGGAAUAUAAAUAAAGAGUUGGGCCUGCUCAAUGAUUAAGAUUAAAUAGCUGCGGUAUUAUAACUGUACUAAGGUAGCAUAAUAAUUUGCCUUAUAAAUUAGGGCUAGAAUGAAUGGUUUGACGAGAAUCAGACUGUCUCUAUUUUAUUUAUUAGAAAUUAAUUUUUAUAGUAGAAAGCUUAAAUGGUUUAAAGGGACGAGAAGACCCUAUUGAGCUUAAAUUAUUUUUAUAGAAAUUAUAAUAUUUGAAUUAUUUGUUAAAAUAUUAUUAUUAUUUAUAUUUAUUUGUGUAAUUUUGAUUGGGGUGAUCAAGGAAUAAAAUAGAUUAUAACUUCCUUAAUUUAUUGAAAUGUUUAUAGAUUAAUAAACCAUAGUUUUGCUUAGAAGAUAAGUUACCAUAGGGAUAACAGGUAAUUUUUUUUGAGAGUUCAUAUUGAGAAGAAAGAUUGCGGCCUCGAUGUUGGAUUAAAUAUAACCUUAAGGUGAAGAAGUUUUAUUAGGUAAAUCUGUUCGAUUUUUAAAAAUUUAC